CGUCUUGGACCGGCUCCUCUGGUAGCCAUUUUUGUUUUGGGUAGAGAGGCUUGACUGACUUGUUCGCUUUUGUCCGCUAGAGGUCCCGAACUUUUCCGUUUUUAUUCCUGAAAGGAAUCUAGGAUUUCCCUGCCCUCCGUAUUUCCUCGCCCCCAGGACCCCCACCUGGAAAUCCUAUAGAUUUCCGUUUCCUCUUCCCUGUCUCUUCUGCCCUUCUUCAAUCCCUGUGGCUCACCGACUGGUGUCUCCUCUAUUGCCAGAUCUAAGGAUCCCCCCCCCCCCCCCCCCCCCCCCCCCCCCCGCGCCCCCUUUUUUUCGAGACAGGGUUUCUCUGUGUAGCUUUGGCUAUAGUGGACUCAAUUUGUAGGCUGGCCUCCAACUCAGAGAUCUGCCUGCCUCCGCCUCCCUGGGAUUACAGGCGUGAGCCACUGCCUUUGUCUCUUAGUGAUGUUUUCCUAAGAGUCAAGUGCCUUACAGGGUCUUGGGAAGGAGAGGAGCAUUAAAGGCUUAGAGUGAGGAUAGACCUGAACCCAGAUCCAAGAUGGCUUGCAGACCUCCUCCAACUCACUGCCCUCUUGCCUACGUUGGCAGGGCUAAUAAUCUAGAAGAGACCGGACGACUCUGCACCAGGACCCAAUCCAGACCCAGGAAUGCCAGAGAAGAGGCUUUGUGGGGAAGGGAGGACAGCACCCAGCCCUCCAGGAAAUGAAAUUGCAUUUUCAGGGAGGUCUUCCUCUUCCAUUCAGCUAUUCCAAACACUCAACACCUUCAUCCAAGCAGAUUUCCCAGGGACUGACUCUCCUGGAGAUACCCCUUGGCUGAGGAAGCUCCUCCAACUGCAGACACUUGUCAGCUCCUCGGAGUCCUGUUUGUCCUUGGAAGCUUCUUUCAACUCCCCAACAGUGCACAGAUUCCCCAUGUCCCUCCCUCUGAGGAAGACUCACACGCCCCUGACCCUGGCAGUGCCUAACCCAGCGUUCUGCACGGGAUAGUUCCUCAAUAAAUGUUCCUUGCAUGUUGUUGCUUGGGUCUCAUGUCGAAAGGGGAAGUCUGACCUAGAGAUUAAAGCCAAUCAAAUUACAUUCUCAUUUUGUAACCUUGGAUGAGUUGUUGGAUUCACAGAGGACUGUGUGAGACUAAGUUUCCUCCUGUGUGAAUGGAAAUUAUAAUUGUAUCCACAUCAGUUUUGUGAGCAUAAACUUCAGUGAGUUGAUA